AAUAAAGAUAUAAUACAAGCAAAGGAUGCCAAUUGGCCCAACCAAAAAUCCCCUAAAACCUAGCCUUUCCAGCCGCCACACCCAUCCCAUUCUUCCCGCUUAUGAAUAGACAAAUAAGCGGCGUAAUUUUCCAAAUUUCAAAAAUAGUCCUAAAUAACUUCCUGCUUCAAAGCCCCUCCCUUUUUUAUUUUAUCUGCGCUUUAAAAUCCCUCUAUUAUCAGUUUCUACCAUUGUAGUUCUCCCUCUGUUAGUGCCCGAAAAAACCCUAAUAUUUUGAUCAAACAACCGAUUAUACUAGUGAAUUCCACCGUGGAUAACAUAAUCAAGAAGACUGGAGUUGACACGAAGAAAAAAGAAAUGGCAUUUUUGAAGAGAAUGAGAUCAAUUAUUGACAGCGAAAUGCUUGACUUGCGGAGAUGUGGUUUCAUAAAGCUUUGUUGAAAAACUUAUUGUAGAAGAAUUCGAAUUAGGAGUGAUUUUGAUGUAGUCAGAUGUUGAAACACCAUCGUUAAUUGUUUAGUUAGGUUUGAAUUUUACUUGAGAGAGAAAAAAUCAUUUAAUUGGACAUUAUUUAAUUUGUUCACAGUACUUGUAUAUUGUUACUUUGUUCUUUGGUUAUGGUAUAAAAAGGGGUGUUUACUUGACAUGUAUUUCAUUUUUGUAAAG